UCCGUAGGUGAACCUGCGGAAGGAUCAUUAGUGAUUGACCUCCGGGUCUUAAUAACUAUAAUCUUCUACCUCUGUGAACCGUUGGUCUUCGGACCGAUUCUUAUAACAAACAUCUGUGUAAUGAACGUAACCUAUAUUAAUCAUAUAAAACUUUUAACAACGGAUCUCUUGGCUCUCGCAUCGAUGAAGAACGCAGCGAAAUGCGAUAAGUAAUGUGAAUUGCAGAAUUCAGUGAAUCAUCGAAUCUUUGAACGCACCUUGCGCCUUUUGGUAUUCCGAAAGGCAUGCCUGUUUGAGUGUCAUGAAAUAUCAACCCCUCCUGGUUUCUGAUCAGUGUUGGGCUUGGACUUGGGUGUCUGCCAGUUCGCUGGCUCGCCUUAAAAGAGUUAGUGGUAAUAACAUCCACGGCUAAGACGUAAUAAGUUUCGUCUGGUCAAGGUGUGACGACUGCUCAUAACCCGACCGCAAGGUCAUUAUUUAUGCUCUGACCUCAAAUCAGGUAGGACUACCCGCUGAACUUAAGCAUAUCAAUAAGCGGAGGA
rnacentral:rRNA from 1 species